UGCUGUUGUCGCUGAAGUUUGCCGCAAAUUUUUUUGGCAUCCCCCCCCGUUUCUUCAAAGAUCUUCUUUUGCCUUGCGUCAUCUUCAUUUUUUUGUGGGUGUGUGACUUGUCGGUGUAUUAAAGGCGAUUCUUCAGGCGAUUUUAGUAAGCAGAUAUCAUUUAUAUACAUCACAGCAGAUUUUUCAGUAUACUGCUCAGGUGUAGCUUUAAUAGUUGUUCAAAAAAGACACUUUCUGGCAGACGUUUCCGGUGCAGAUUUUGAGACGCAUUUCAAGAGGACGUUAUAAUAAUUGAUUCAGAUUUCAUAGAAGUGAAGGCACACAGUUGCAUAUCCGCAGUUUGAAUUGUUUCCCUUUUAAAUUAUUUACUAUUGGGAAUAGCUAAACAGAUGUUCAUUUUUAGAAGGGGUAGGAAUGUACAAAAACCUCAAAAACUCUUUCACGAGCCCCGUAUCUGGUCAGAUAGAUUUCACGUGGAGGUAGAUCAACAAGAGUUUCGUUUUCAAGGUACUAGAAUUGGUUUUAUAAGCUAAAUCAUAGUUGCCUUGAAAAAUAAAUGACAAUGAAAAUUUUACUUCUAAAGAGAAAUCGUACCGUACUUAAAAUUGCAUUACGCCAUUUUCAGUAAAAAGAAGGAUGUGGAAGAAACGAAGAAAGUCAAGUUCUCAGUUUUUUUUUCAAAUUGUUUCUGGAAUGAUUCGACUUACCUUAAUUUCUUUUCACAAAAAGUGCAACUUUUCUUAUACCUAGUUUAAUUGUGUCUUUGUCUCUUCUAAUUUAGGAUUUCUGUAUACAGGUAUUUAUUGCGAUAAGUACAUUGUCAAAUUGCUUUCAAACAAAUUAAAAUAAUUACAUAUUCAACAAUCACCAGUAGAUGAUCACUACUCUCAUCUAUAUCUUGAAAAUGAAGCUCUUGUGGACUUUUGCUUAAAGUCCUUGUUCUGUCACUUGAAGUUUACAGAUAUGAAUUAGAUAGAAUAGAUUUUGGUUUAUUGUGCGACUUAAUUAAGAGUUAGAUAUUUUUCGUCAAAUUAUUCAAUUAAAGGCUUGUAUAAUGUAGUAGUUUUCACUGAUGUGUUAAUAUUUGAA